CUUCAGUGAUGAUACGAUGACGAGUCGGAACUGGACGCCACCUUGCUUCAUGCAGCCUGGGUCAGAGUCACGUUCUGUGUCUCGGACUUCAGUCACAUGAAGCAGAGCGUCCGUUUAGCUUGAAGACAUCGAGGCAUUUGUCUGAGAAGG